GAAGCGGACCUUCUCGAUGUAGCUAGCAAAGCGGUCAUUGAGCUCCAUCAUCUCUGCACGCUCGCUCGCCCGUGUCUCCUUGAAGCCAGCAUUGAGCGCCCCGGCCAGGGAGAAGUCCACCCUGGCAGGGAGUGGAGGAGUCAUUCGAGACAAGGAGAAGCGUGGCAUGGUACCCAGUUGUCGACUAGGACCGAGGCCCCUGACCACCGUCUCGGAGGCAUAGGAGCGGCGCGCAGAGGUGAUGCGUCUCCGCUCCAUCCUGCCCUGCCUCUGCUGGCUCCUGGGAUGUCAGGGCCUUUAUGGAGGAACGGGUUGGACUAAAUCUGCCCCUGACUUCCUGGAAGCACCCCCAUUGAAUAGCCUGAGGGGGUGGAGCUGGGCCCCAGCCCAGCUAGGGGGAGAACUCCUCUCACCCCACUGAGGUCACUGUACCCAGAGUCAAGGCUUUCUUGGGAACACCAGCCUGGCUUCGCCAUUGAUCAAGGAACCCCCUUUCUGGUAAAUGGGUCAAGAGAGGGCCGAGGGAACAGCUUAGUCCAUAAAUUGCUUGCCUGUCAAGCAUGAAGACCCACCCAAGUUCUAGCUGCAGAAUGAAUACAAAAGGCCUGGGUUGACAGUGCAUACUUGUAAACUCCAGUGCUGGGCAGUGAAAAUCAGCAGACUUCCUGGCUCUCACUAAUUGGCGAGUUCCAGAUCCAGAGAGAAAUGCUCUCUCAGAAAACCAAGGCAACAGUGCCUGAGGUUGACCUCUGGUCUCAACACAUGUAUGUGCACACACAUGAACAUUUGUGUGAUAAGUGUGCACGAGCGCACACACAGAGACAGAGACAGAGAGUGCACAGCUCGGUGGGGUAAUCAGCUUCCAGUUCUUAGAGCCUGUAAGCCAGGACCACCCCAACUCUGUCCUUCUCUGGGGGCCUGUGAGAUGCUAGGAACUUGAAGAACCUAUUCCCUUCCUCCGGGAUCAACCUAUAUUACAGUUUCCUGUGACCCCCAUUCUCAACAGAGUCCUCUCCCCUGAAUCUCUCCAACUCUAUCUUCUCAUUCCUGGAGUUCAGGAGUGGAGGGCUAAGGUUGGAGCCCUCUCUGUGACUCCAGGGUCAACUUGAGCCUCUGGCUGUGUGUUUAGAGUGCACGGCAGAAGGUAUGCACGCAGAUCCUAAUAGGGUAAGACAGCAGGCUUCAUUCCUGAGCCCCUCUGUGGCCUCUUAUCCAGCCUAGUGGGCCAUUUCUCCCUGAUCCAGCUUCUCGUUGCCCCCCACCCCCCACCCCGAGCCUGGCCCCUGGCAGCCCCUGACAGAGUAGUUUUGAAUGAGUUGGCUGUGCAUGCUGGAGUCUUUCUUUCUGUAACACCCCGUCUUCCUGGGUACCCCUCAUUCUCUCAGGAGAUUUACCCCCUUUAAAUUCCUACACACCAGGCCUCUGAGGGAUAUGUAGGUCCGGGAAACCAAACCCCACCCUCACCAAUGGCGGGGAGGAGGCUGUUGCUGCUUGAGACUUCAGGCCCAUCUAUCUCUUCCACUCAGGUCCCUCUCCCAGGCGCCUUAGCCAUCUGUGUCCUUGGGCUUCUGGAACACAGACAGCUCUGCUCCCCCCAACCCCUGCCUUCCUCUGCCCAUGCUUGGGCUUCUGGUGUCUACUCCAGGGUACUCGCUGAAUAGAGCCUUGUUCUCUGCCGCCAGUGAGGCAUAUGGCAAGGGCAGCCCCGUGGGCUGCUUUUAUCCCAGGAUGCCAGGAUGUCAGCCCCGGGUGCAGUACAAGCUCCCAGCUCAAUAGACUUCUCGGAAAGCAUCGAAGGAGGCCUGGAGCACAGCGGGAAGCAGGCUGCGUGCCCACCCCUGACCAUUAUGUCUAUGCCAAGAACUAUGGCAAGCCAGCAUGGCAGGACAUGCCUUUGGCCAGAGGAUCACUUUGAGUUCCAGGCCAGCUUGGUCUACAUAAUGAGUUCCAAGACAGACAGCACUCCAUAGACAGAUCCUGUCUCAAGGAAACAAGCAAGCAAGCACACAAAUACAAAAAAAGUAUGAAAGUCCAGACCACAUGAUUCUAUCUGGUACCAGGAACCCUCAAGCAGAGGCCAGAGCCAUGAGAGCAUUGCAGGAAGACUCUGGAAACAGCCGACUGCCUCUGCACCCAAAGGGUGGUAGCGAUGACCAGAAGGGGUAAUGUAUGUGAAGACCCCAGGAAAUGGAGAAGUUAUUCCAUCGGAAUCUAGCCAUCACUCAGCAAGGCCUCCUGAAGGGAAAGCGCUGUGCCAAGCUGCCAUGGGAUACAGAUGUGCAUCUGUGAUGGCUUCGAGGGAGCUGUGGUACACAGGGGAGCAAACUCAUUAAGACUAAUUGGAGAGGCGGGAACCCUGUGCCUGAGAGAGAGAAAUGAUGUCUGUUCACUUCAAAAAAGGAAGCCGUCCUGUUAUGUAAAAAUCAGAAUGUG